rnacentral:ncRNA from 1 species
UACUUAAGCGCCAGAACUUAAUUGUUUAAUUAAGUUGACGAGGUCAGAGUUAAUCGAAAUAUCGGCGGAUGCUCUGCGGUGUGCCACCAUCGAAGGAUUUCUACAAAGUAUAAGAGUAAUCUUAUUAAACAAAAAGAA